GUUAUUUUUCUUUGAAUCCAUUAUGUUAUGCAGUACUAAGUUAUCCUGUCUUAUGGACCUGGCUUACCAAUGCCCCCCUGUUUUUCCUGUUCACUUCGCUAGGUGUUUAUAAAAAACGUAUAAAUUCAUCACAGUCUCAUUCGACUGUGUUCAGUCCACCAAUUACCCAUUAGGCACGAAUAGCACGUGCACUCAACUUCUUUGGUUGACCAUGG